rnacentral:lncRNA from 1 species
AGAUUACAACUAAUUUAAUUAAUUAAUGACUAAUUACAAUUAACGAACUAAUCACAAUUAAUUCCUCUGAUGGAGAUUGCAUGAAUCCUAAAAGUAAACUUAGUGGAAAUAUAGCAUCUGUAUUGGUGACUUUCAGAUAAAGCAAGCUUCCUCCCUCAGCAUCUGUAGCACCAGCAUCUAUCCUUGCUGCCUCGUCAUUCUUCCUCAGAAAAACUCAAACUUUGAACAAUCAAAAUCAACAAAAAUAAAUGAAAACGUAUAUAUAUAUAUAUAUAUUUCCUUACAUAAGACAUAGAGUUCCAAGUUAAAUUUGAAAAUUUUUGAUAUCCCAAAAUGCACUUUCAAAUAUCAUUAAGCAACUUCAACAGAGAGAAUUGAUCCACCCAAACCCUUAUUAUCCAUACGUAAAUGAUAUAAAGGUUUAUAUGCCACUUGUCACAGAUUAUCCUUAACUGCAUCUAAAUUUGAGCGGAGUAAUUUAAUUAAAGGUGUAUAUAAUAAAUGCUGGUACUAUAAAUGGAAAAAAAUUAAAAAGAAUUAAAUAACACGAAAUGCAGUCGGAAAUUAUGGCUAGCAACGAGACAAAAAAAGAGACUUUUGGAUGCAUAUAUAAAUUCCUUUAGCAGGAGGAAAAGGUUACGUCUCUGUUCUUGUUGCUCAUUUGAACAUUUUUAUUCGUAGCAACGCCAUUGAAAAUGUUGGUGACUUACAAUCUUAAGGCCUUUGCUUUUGCCGUGACUGUAAUCAUGACGGCGAGCCUCUUAAGAUGUGUUUCAGUGGUGGGUCAACUUCGAG